rnacentral:rRNA from 1 species
UCUCCGUUGGUGAACCAGCGGAGGGAUCAUUACCGAGUUUACAACUCCCAAACCCAAUGUGAACGUUACCAAACUGUUGCCUCGGCGGGAUCUUCUGCCCCGGGUGCGUCGCAGCCCCGGACCAAGGCGCCCGCCGGAGGAAUCAACCAAAACUCUUAUUGUAUACCCCCUCGCGGGUUUUUUUUAUAAUCUGAGCCUUCUCGGCGCCUCUCGUAGGCGUUUCGAAAAUGAAUCAAAACUUUCAACAACGGAUCUCUUGGUUCUGGCAUCGAUGAAGAACGCAGCGAAAUGCGAUAAGUAAUGUGAAUUGCAGAAUUCAGUGAAUCAUCGAAUCUUUGAACGCACAUUGCGCCCGCCAGUAUUCUGGCGGGCAUGCCUGUCCGAGCGUCAUUUCAACCCUCGAACCCCUCCGGGGGGUCGGCGUUGGGGAUCGGCCUCCUCUCACGGGGGCCGUCUCCGAAAUACAGUGGCGGUCUCGCCGCAGCCUCUCCUGCGCAGUAGUUUGCACACUCGCAUCGGGAGCGCGGCGCGUCCACAGCCGUUAAACACCCAACUUCUGAAAUGUUGACCUCGGAUCAGGUAGGAAUACCCGCUGAACUUAA